rnacentral:rRNA from 1 species
UACGUAGGGUGCAAGCGUUGUCCGGAAUUAUUGGGCGUAAAGAGCUCGUAGGCGGUUUGUUGCGUCGGCUGUGAAAUCCCGAGGCUCAACCUCGGGUCUGCAGUCGAUACGAGCAAACUAGAGUGUUGCAGGGGAGACUGGAAUUCCUGGUGUAGCGGUGAAAUGCGCAGAUAUCAGGAGGAACACCGGUGGCGAAGGCGGGUCUCUGGGCAACAACUGACGCUGGAGACGCGAAAAGCGUGGGGAGCAAACAGG